AAUGGGCGAAAGCCUGACGGAGCAAUACCGCGUGAGGGAGGAAGGCUCUUGGGUUGUAAACCUCAAAACUUAGGGAAGAAAAAAAUGACGGUACCUAAUAUAAGCAUCGGCUAACUCCGUGCCAGCAGCCGCGGUAAUACGGAGGAUGCAAGCGUUAUCCGGAAUCAUUGGGCGUAAAGCGUCCGUAGGUGGCAUUUCAAGUCUGCUGUCAAAGACCGAAGCUCAACUUCGGGAAGGCGGUGGAAACUGAAAAGCUAGAGUGAAGUAGGGGUAGAGGGAAUUCCUAGUGUAGCGGUGAAAUGCGUAGAGAUUAGGAAGAACACCAGUGGCGAAGGCGCUCUACUGGACUUAAACUGAC
rnacentral:rRNA from 1 species